rnacentral:rRNA from 1 species
AUGCAAGUCUAAGUUCAACAAAAAUGGUGAAACCGCGAACAGCUCAUUAAAUCAGUUUUGGUUCAUUUGUAUGUUUGUUCUAUAUGAAUAACUGCGGUAACCCUGCAGCUAAUGCAUGCUAGUCUCUUUCCGAAGAGAACUUUUACUAGAAGACAUAGGGAUAGGUGCUGAUGAGGCGCCCAUGACUGAUGAAUACUGAGUAACUGAAGGAGCUUCACACGCUUUUCAGCGGAAGCCGAUGCAUUCGAAUAUCUGCCCUAUCAACUUUGACGGUAGUGUAACGGACUACCGUGGUUGUGACGGGUGACGGGGAAUCAGGGUUCGAUUCCGGAGAGGGAGCCUGAGAAACGGCUACCACUCUUAAGAGAGGCAGCAGGCACGAAAAUUACCCAAUGUCGGUACGACGAGGUAGUGACUAGAAAUAACGAUAUGAGCCCAUCGGGUUUUGUAAUCGGAAUGGAAGAGAAUUUAACAAAUCUCUUGAGGAACUAGUAGAGGGCAAGUCUGGUGCCAGCAGCCGCGGUAAUACCAGCCUCUACAAGCAUAUGCAAAAGUUGCUGCGAUUGAAAAGCUCAUAGUUGGAUCCGUUCGUCUGUCACCGUUUUGCCCGCGCGGGAUAUCUCCUUGUGGGCCCCUGCGGACCGGUGUCUGGACGGCCCUUUCGUUUUGGGUGUUAGGCACUUAAUUGUGUCGAACACUAGGGACGGAAUAUUUACCUUGAGUAAAUUAGAGUGCUCAAAGCAAGCUUAUGAUUGAAUAAUAAAGCAUGGAAUAAUGGAGGAGGCCUGCUCUCUAUUCGGAGUAGCAGUAAUGAUUAAAAGGAACAGUCGGGGGUAUUUGUAUUGCUACGUUAGAGGUGAAAUUCUUGGAUCGUGGCAAGACAAACUAACGCGAAGGCAUUUACCAAGAAUGUUUUCAUUAAUCAAGAACGAAAGUCAGAGCAUUGAAGAGGAUUAGAUACCCUCGUAAUUCUGACCAUAAACGAUACCGACUUACGAUUUGUCAAAGUUCAUUCCUGACUUGGCAAGGAGUUACCUGGGAAACCAAAGUUUAUUGGCUCCGGGGGAAGUAUGGUUGCAAAAUCGAAACUUAAAGUAAUUGACGGAAGGGCACCACCAGGAGUGGAGCCUGCGGCUUAAUUUGACUCAACACGGGAAAACUCACCAGGUCCAGACAUCGAAAGGAUUGACAGAUUAAAUAUCUUUCAUGAUUCAAUGGGUGGUGGUGCAUGGCCGUUCUUAGUUAGUGGAGUGAUCUGUCUGGUUAAUUCCGAUAACGAACGAGAUCCUAGCCGUUUAAAUAGAAGUAGUAACUUCGGUUGCUAUAAACUUCUUAGAGGAACUAUGCGGAAUAUAAUACCGCAAGGAAGUGGGGCGAUAACAGGUCUGUGAUGCCCUUAGAUGUCCUGGGCUGCACGCGCGCUACACUGGUCACAAAACGGUGAUUGUGCAAGCCUAGUCCGAAAUGGUCUAGGUAACCACAAAGUGUGACACUAUGAUUGGGAUAGACACUUGUAACUAGUGGUCUUGAACGAGGAAUUCCUAGUAAUUUCAAGUCAACAACUUGAUGUGAUUACGUCCCUGCCCUUUGUACACACCGCCCGUCGCUACUACUGAUUGGAUGAUUAAGCAAGAACUUCUGAAGCUUGCAGCUGAGGCUUCGUGCUGAGGCAGUAGGCGGUUGAGGAUCGAGCUUUGUUGUCUA